rnacentral:rRNA from 1 species
UGGGUAGGGGAGCGUUCUGUAAGCCUGUGAAGGUGGCCUGUGAGGGUUGCUGGAGGUAUCAGAAGUGCGAAUGCUGACAUAAGUAACGAUAAAGCGGGUGAAAAGCCCGCUCGCCGGAAGACCAAGGGUUCCUGUCCAACGUUAAUCGGGGCAGGGUGAGUCGACCCCUAAGGCGAGGCCGAAAGGCGUAGUCGAUGGGAAACGGGUUAAUAUUCCCGUACUUGGUGUUACUGCGAAGGGGGGACGGAGAAGGCUAUGUUGGCCGGGCGACGGUUGUCCCGGUUUAAGCGUGUAGGUGUGUGUUCCAGGUAAAUCCGGUUCACUUUAACACUGAGGCGUGAUGACGAGGCACUACGGUGCUGAAGCAACAAAUGCCCUGCUUCCAGGAAAAGCCUCUAAGCAUCAGGUAACAUCAAAUCGUACCCCAAACCGACACAGGUGGUCAGGUAGAGAAUACCAAGGCGCUUGAGAGAACUCGGGUGAAGGAACUAGGCAAAAUGGUGCCGUAACUUCGGGAGAAGGCACGCUGACACGUAGGUGAAGUGAUUUACUCACGGAGCUGAAGUCAGUCGAAGAUACCAGCUGGCUGCAACUGUUUAUUAAAAACACAGCACUGUGCAAACACGAAAGUGGACGUAUACGGUGUGACGCCUGCCCGGUGCCGGAAGGUUAAUUGAUGGGGUCAGCGCAAGCGAAGCUCCUGAUCGAAGCCCCGGUAAACGGCGGCCGUAACUAUAACGGUCCUAAGGUAGCGAAAUUCCUUGUCGGGUAAGUUCCGACCUGCACGAAUGGCGUAAUGAUGGCCAGGCUGUCUCCACCCGAGACUCAGUGAAAUUGAACUCGCUGUGAAGAUGCAGUGUACCCGCGGCAAGACGGAAAGACCCCGUGAACCUUUACUAUAGCUUGACACUGAACAUUGAGCCUUGAUGUGUAGGAUAGGUGGGAGGCUUUGAAGCGUGGACGCCAGUCUGCGUGGAGCCAACCUUGAAAUACCACCCUUUAAUGUUUGAUGUUCUAACGUGGACCCGUAAUCCGGGUUGCGGACAGUGUCUGGUGGGUAGUUUGACUGGGGCGGUCUCCUCCUAAAGAGUAACGGAGGAGCACGAAGGUUGGCUAAUCCUGGUCGGACAUCAGGAGGUUAGUGCAAUGGCAUAAGCCAGCUUGACUGCGAGCGUGACGGCGCGAGCAGGUGCGAAAGCAGGUCAUAGUGAUCCGGUGGUUCUGAAUGGAAGGGCCAUCGCUCAACGGAUAAAAGGUACUCCGGGGAUAACAGGCUGAUACCGCCCAAGAGUUCAUAUCGACGGCGGUGUUUGGCACCUCGAUGUCGGCUCAUCACAUCCUGGGGCUGAAGUAGGUCCCAAGGGUAUGGCUGUUCGCCAUUUAAAGUGGUACGCGAGCUGGGUUUAGAACGUCGUGAGACAGUUCGGUCCCUAUCUGCCGUGGGCGCUGGAGAACUGAGGGGGGCUGCUCCUAGUACGAGAGGACCGGAGUGGACGCAUCACUGGUGUUCGGGUUGUCAUGCCAAUGGCACUGCCCGGUAGCUAAAUGCGGAAGAGAUAAGUGCUGAAAGCAUCUAAGCACGAAACUUGCCCCGAGAUGAGUUCU